rnacentral:misc_RNA from 1 species
AAGUCGUAACAAGGUUUCCGUAGGUGAACCUGCGGAAGGAUCAUUAACACUUUUUAAUUAAAUUUCUUUUUCUAGAAAUUUAUAAAACCCCACAAUUUUGGAUGAAUUUAAUUAUUUAAUUUUAAUUUUUUUUAAAUUUUUUUUAUAUAACUAAAAUAUUUUGGACUAAAAUCUUUUUUUAUAAAUUUUUAUAUAAUUUAAAAAACAACUCUUAACAACGGAUAUCUUGGCUCUC